rnacentral:rRNA from 1 species
GAUGAACGCUGGCGGCGUGCCUAAUACAUGCAAGUCGAGCGAACAGACGAGGAGCUUGCUCCUCUGACGUUAGCGGCGGACGGGUGAGUAACACGUGGAUAACCUACCUAUAAGACUGGGAUAACUUCGGGAAACCGGAGCUAAUACCGGAUAAGAUGUUGAACCGCAUGGUUCAACAGUGAAAGACGGUCUUGCUGUCACUUUUAGAUGGUUCGCCGCCGGAUUGGCUAGUUGCUAAGGUAACGGCUUACAAAGGCAACGAUGCGUAGCCGACCUGGGCGGGUGAGCGGCCACACUGGAACGGAGACACGGUCAAGAGUCCUACGGGAGGCAGCAGUAGGGAAUCUUCCACAAUGGGCGAAAGCCUGACGGAGAAAGGCCGCGUGAGUGAAGAAGGUCUUCGGAUCGUAAAACUCUGUUAUUAGGGAAGAACAAAUGUGUAAGUAACGAUGCACGUCUUGACGGUACCUAAUCAGAAAGCCACGGCUAACUACGUG